UCUCUGGUGGUCCAGUGGCUAAGACUCCUGACUCCUAAUACAGGGGGCCUGGGUUUGAUCCCUGGUCAGGGAA
rnacentral:tRNA from 1 species